AAACUGAAACAAGACCCACGUUCUGGACUAUUCAUUCGCACUUUCUCCCUCAUAAAUGAUUCUCCUCCUAUUUUUCUUAAUCGCGAACUUUGUUCAAUGCGUGGGCUUGAAAUUUCUGCAAUUUCACAUCUCCCGCUCAAGGUAUCCAUAAUGAUUCUACAUUCGUGUACUCCAGAGUUCAAUUUUGAAGUAAAAUUUUGAAUUGCUAAAAGUUCGUCGGCAACAACAUUGUUAAACCAUGGUUAUGGAUUCGAAAUCAUCGGUUCACAAUUUCAUCCAGAAAAGUAUUUUUCACAAGGAGGAUCUGUGGGACUCUUCUAAUGUGAUCGACAAAGGGAGUAUAUAUUCAGUAAUAAAAUCCAGGUGUGUAUGGUUCUGACAGUCGCUGAAUUCGUGCGCGAGCUGAUUAUCGGAGACUUACGAGGUAGUUGCUGGCAUCCGCAGUUCUUGUUUCUCCUUUCUUAUUGUCUUUUCUCUCUUGUAUUGGCAUUUGGUACAGAUUGUAGUAGACUCUAUUUCUAGAUUGGUUGUUAGAUGCUCAUGACUUAGUGACACCCCGAUGUCGGGCUAUUAUUCCGCACUUGUGUUUUGGGUUUAACCCUGUUAUUAUGUAAAC